rnacentral:rRNA from 1 species
AACGAACGCUGGCGGCAUGCCUAACACAUGCAAGUCGAACGAGACCUUCGGGUCUAGUGGCGCACGGGUGCGUAACGCGUGGGAAUCUACCCUUGGGUUCGGAAUAACAGUUAGAAAUGACUGCUAAUACCGGAUGAUGACGUAAGUCCAAAGAUUUAUCGCCCAAGGAUGAGCCCGCGUAAGAUUAGCUUGUUGGUGGGGUAAUGGCCUACCAAGGCGACGAUCUUUAGCUGGUCUGAGAGGCGGAUCAGCCACACUGGGGCUGAGACACGGCCCAUGCUCCUACGGGAGGCAGCAGUGGGGAAUAUUGGGCAAUGGGCGAAAGCCUGAUCCAGCAAUGCCGCGUGAGUGAUGAAGGCCUUAGGGUUGUAAAGCUCUUUUACCAGGGAUGAUAAUGACAGUACCUGGAGAAUAAGCUCCGGCUAACUCCGUGCCAGCCGCCGCCGUAA